AUGCUGGAGGUAUCAGAAGUGCGAAUGCUGACAUAAGUAACGAUAAAGCGGGUGAAAAGCCCGCUCGCCGGAAGACCAAGGGUUCCUGUCCAACGUUAAUCGGGGCAGGGUGAGUCGACCCCUAAGGCGAGGCCGAAAGGCGUAGUCGAUGGGAAACAGGUUAAUAUUCCUGUACUUGGUGUUACUGCGAAGGGGGGACGGAGAAGGCUAUGUUGGCCGGGCGACGGUUGUCCCGGUUUAAGCGUGUAGGCUGGUUUUCCAGGCAAAUCCGGAAAAUCAAGGCUGAGGCGUGAUGACGAGGCACUACGGUGCUGAAGCAACAAAUGCCCUGCUUCCAGGAAAAGCCUCUAAGCAUCAGGUAACAUCAAAUCGUACCCCAAACCGACACAGGUGGUCAGGUAGAGAAUACCAAGGCGCUUGAGAGAACUCGGGUGAAGGAACUAGGCAAAAUGGUGCCGUAACUUCGGGAGAAGGCACGCUGAUAUGUAGGUGAAGCGACUUGCUCGUGGAGCUGAAAUCAGUCGAAGAUACCAGCUGGCUGCAACUGUUUAUUAAAAACACAGCACUGUGCAAACACGAAAGUGGACGUAUACGGUGUGACGCCUGCCCGGUGCCGGAAGGUUAAUUGAUGGGGUCAGCGCAAGCGAAGCUCUUGAUCGAAGCCCCGGUAAACGGCGGCCGUAACUAUAACGGUCCUAAGGUAGCGAAAUUCCUUGUCGGGUAAGUUCCGACCUGCACGAAUGGCGUAAUGAUGGCCAGGCUGUCUCCACCCGAGACUCAGUGAAAUUGAACUCGCUGUGAAGAUGCAGUGUACCCGCGGCAAGACGGAAAGACCCCGUGAACCUUUACUAUAGCUUGACACUGAACAUUGAGCCUUGAUGUGUAGGAUAGGUGGGAGGCUUUGAAGUGUGGACGCCAGUCUGCAUGGAGCCGGCCUUGAAAUACCACCCUUUAAUGUUUGAUGUUCUAACGUUGACCCGUGAUCCGGGUUGCGGACAGUGUCUGGUGGGUAGUUUGACUGGGGCGGUCUCCUCCUAAAGAGUAACGGAGGAGCACGAAGGUUGGCUAAUCCUGGUCGGACAUCAGGAGGUUAGUGCAAUGGCAUAAGCCAGCUUGACUGCGAGCGUGACGGCGCGAGCAGGUGCGAAAGCAGGUCAUAGUGAUCCGGUGGUUCUGAAUGGAAGGGCCAUCGCUCAACGGAUAAAAGGUACUCCGGGGAUAACAGGCUGAUACCGCCCAAGAGUUCAUAUCGACGGCGGUGUUUGGCACCUCGAUGUCGGCUCAUCACAUCCUGGGGCUGAAGUAGGUCCCAAGGGUAUGGCUGUUCGCCAUUUAAAGUGGUACGCGAGCUGGGUUUAGAACGUCGUGAGACAGUUCGGUCCCUAUCUGCCGUGGGCGCUGGAGAACUGAGGGGGGCUGCUCCUAGUACGAGAGGACCGGAGUGGACGCAUCACUGGUGUUCGGGUUGUCAUGCCAAUGGCACUGCCCGGUAGCUAAAUGCGGAAGAGAUAAGUGCUGAAAGCAUCUAAGCACGAAACUUGCCCCGAGAUGAGUUCUCCCUGACUCCUUGAGAGUCCUGAAGGAACGUUGAAGACGACGACGUUGAUAGGCCGGGUGUGUAAGCGCAGCGAUGCGUUGAGCUAACCGGUACUAAUGAACCGUGAGG
rnacentral:rRNA from 1 species